rnacentral:lncRNA from 1 species
CAAGCAAGUGUUUCACUCAAUCACUCAAGUGUUUAAGGUGACACUCCACUCUCUGUUGUUCACAAGUUACAUGAAACAAAAUUGUCAUUCAUCUCAAACAAUCGACAUCUUUACAUGCAAAUGUCAUCAAAAGGACUUUUCCAAGGCUUGUAAUGAGGUUGGGCUAACAACAAAGAAUUGGUUUUUCUAGAAUGCAAAAUCCUUGAGUCAAGAGAGCUAUCAAAAUAUUCAACAUUUAAACACAACUCUCUUCCUCACCAAUCUCUCUCAUUCCCAACUUUUUCCGUUUUCUCUUUCUUUUGCAUUGAGCUCUUCUUCAUGCUUUUCUUCUUUUCUUUUCUUUUUCUCAUGAAUUUUUCUUUUCACACAUUUGAGCUCAAUGUUUUUCACUUGCUUUUCAAAUUUUCCCCCGUACAACCCUAAACUUGAAUCUUUUCAUUCCAUACAAUUAAGCUCAUCCCAACUCAAGGUAAAGAACUUCAAAACAAGGGUUCACAUCCUGUUUAAGGCUAAGGUUCAAAAGGGGUAUAAUAUUUCAAGCACUUUGGGUGAAAAUUUGGGUAGAGAAGGGUUUUCAAAAAUGGCCUUGACCAUAUGACAUUCACAUGCAAUUCAAUUGAUCAUCAAGAUUAAGGCAAUAUCAUCCAUGUUUUUCCUGUGAACAAUGCAUACAUCAAUAAAAACUCUGGAGCUCAAAAUCUCACACACAUGCUUUCUCACACAAAAUUCAUUCAUACACCCUGCCUAGCAUCAUGACCACAAUCAUAAAUUCAUCACACAUCUAUUUCCUGGAUAUCAUCAUGCAUUACNACUCAAUUCUCAUCCACAUC